rnacentral:tRNA from 1 species
GCAUCGAUGGUAUAGUGGUUAGCAUAGCUGCCUUCCAAGCAGUUGACCCGGGUUCGAUUCCCGGUCGAUGCA